rnacentral:rRNA from 1 species
GAUAAACGCUGGCGGCGUGCAUAACACAUGCAAGUCGAACGAUGAAGAUUAAAAGAUUUCUUCGGAAUGAACUUAAUUGGAUUAGUGGCGGACGGGUGAGUAACGCGUGAGUAACCUGCCUUGUACAAGGGGAUAGCCGUUGGAAACGACGAAUAAUACCCUAUGACAUCAAAUAAUCGCAUGAUAAUUUGAUCAAAGAUUUAUCGGUAUAAGAUGGACUCGCGUCUGAUUAGCUAGUUGGUAGUGUAAAAGCCUACCAAGGCAACGAUCAGUAGCCGGCUUGAGAGAGUGUACGGCCACAUUGGGACUGAGACACGGCCCAGACUCCUACGGGAGGCAGCAGUGGGGAAUUUUGCACAAUGGGGGAAACCCUGAUGCAGCGACGCCGCGUGAUUUAGAAGGCCUUCGGGUUGUAAAAAUCUUUUGUAUGGGAAGAAAAUGACAGUACCAUACGAAUAAGGACCGGCUAAUUACGUG